rnacentral:rRNA from 1 species
UAGAAUUCCAGGUGUAGCGGUGAAAUGCGUAGAGAUCUGGAGGAAUACCGGUGGCGAAGGCGGCCCCCUGGACAAAGACUGACGCUCAGGUGCGAAAGUGUGGGGAGCAAACAGGAUUAGAUACCCUGGUAGUCCACGCCGUAAGCGAUGUCGACUUGGAGGUUGUGCCCUUGAGGCGUGGCUUCCGGAGCUAACGCGUUAAGUCGACCGCCUGGGGAGUACGGCCGCAAGGUUAAAACUCAAAUGAAUUGACGGGGGCCCGCACAAGCGGUGGAGCAUGUGGUUUAAUUCGAUGCAACGCGAAGAACCUUACCUACUCUUGACAUCCAGAGAACUUAGCAGAGAUGCUUUGGUGCCUUCGCGAACUCUGAGACAGGUGCUGCAUGGCUGUCGUCAGCUCGUGUUGUGAAAUGUUGGGUUAAGUCCCGCAACGAGCGCAACCCUUAUCCUUUGUUGCCAGCGGUCCGGCCGGGAACUCAAAGGAGACUGCCAGUGAUAAACUGGAGGAAGGUGGGGAUGACGUCAAGUCAUCAUGGCCCUUACGAGUAGGGCUACACACGUGCUACAAUGGCGCAUACAAAGAGAAGCGAACUCGCGAGAGCAAGCGGACCUCAUAAAGUGCGUCGUAGUCCGGAUUGGAGUCUGCAAAUCGACUCCAUGAAGUCGGAAUCGCUAGUAAUCGUAGAUCAGAAUGCUACGGUGAAUACGUUCCC